UACGAGGGGGGCAAGCGUUGUUCGGAAUUACUGGGCGUAAAGCGUGCGCAGGCGGUUUUUUAAGCCAGAUGUGAAAUCCCCGGGCUCAACCUGGGAACUGCAUUUGUGACUGGCAUAGCGUAGAGUACGGUAGAGGGGGAUGGAAUUCCGCGUGUAGCAGUGAAAUGCGUAGAGAUGCGGAGGAACACCGAUGGCGAAGGCAGCCCCCCUGGGCUAACACGUGACGCUCGAGGCACGAAAGCGUGGGGAGCAAACAGG
rnacentral:rRNA from 1 species